rnacentral:rRNA from 1 species
UACGUAGGGGGCAAGCGUUGUCCGGAAUUAUUGGGCGUAAAGAGCGCGUAGGCGGUCCGGUAAGUCGGUUGUGAAAGUCGGGGGCUCAACCCUCGGAUGCCGAUCGAUACUGCCGGGCUAGAGUCCGGAAGAGGCGAGUGGAAUUCCUGGUGUAGCGGUGAAAUGCGCAGAUAUCAGGAGGAACACCGAUGGCGAAGGCAGGUCUCUGGGCAUUAACUGACGCUGAGGAGCGAAAGCAUGGGGAGCGAACAGG